GAAAUGCGAUACGUAAUGUGAAUUGCAAAUUCAGUGAAUCAUCGAGUCUUUGAACGCACAUUGCGCCCCCUGGUAUUCCGGGGGGCAUGCCUGUCCGAGCGUCAUUGCUGCCCUCAAGCACGGCUUGUGUGUUGGGCCCCGUCCUCCGAUCCCGGGGGACGGGCCCGAAAGGCAGCGGCGGCACCGCGUCCGGUCCUCGAGCGUAUGGGGCUUUGUCACCCGCUCUGUAGGCCCGGCCGGCGCUUGCCGAUCAACCCAAAUUUUUAUCCAGGUUGACCUCGGAUCAGGUAGGGAUACCCGCUGAACUUAA
rnacentral:misc_RNA from 1 species